rnacentral:rRNA from 1 species
CCUACGGGAGGCAGCAGUGGGGAAUAUUGGGCAAUGGGCGCAAGCCUGACCCAGCAACGCCGCGUGAAGGAAGAAGGCUUUCGGGUUGUAAACUUCUUUUGACAGGGAAGAGCAGAAGACGGUGCCUGUCGAAUAAGCCACGGCUAACUACGUGCCAGCAGCCGCGGUAAUACGUAGGUGGCAAGCGUUGUCCGGAUUUACUGGGGGUAAAGGGCGUGUAGCCGGGCUGACAAGUCAGUUGUGAAAUCCGGGGGCUCAACCCCCGAACUGCAUUUGAAACUGUUGGUCUUGAGUAUAGGAGAGGCAGGCGGAAUUCAUAGUGUAGCGGUGAAAUGCGUAGAUAUCAGGAGGAACACCGGCGGCGAAGGCGGCCUGCCGGACCGCGACUGACGUUGAGGCUCGAAAGCGUGGGGAGCGAACAGGAUUAGAUACCCUUGUAGUC